AUGUCAUGCUUGUCAAGAUGAUUUCAAAAAAUUCAUAUCAUAUGAAAAUUUCAAACAAUUUCAUAUCAAGAGAGGGCUUUCAUAUAAUGCAUGCUCUCAAGUUAACAUCUUUUGAAUCACAAGCAUAUGCAUAUAUAAUAUAUCAAAUCACUUCGGAAAUAGGCCUAAAAACUAAAUCAAUAUCAUAAAGAUGCUUGAAACAUGUUUAUAUUCAUAAUUUCAAAACCCCCAUUUU
rnacentral:lncRNA from 1 species